rnacentral:miRNA from 1 species
AGAGGCAGGCAGAUCUUUGUGAGUUCGAGGCCAGCCUGGUCUACAAAGUGAGUUCUAGGACAGCAGGAGCUACACAGAGAAACCCUGUCUCGAAAA